CUCAGCUCUUCUUAAACAGAUGACUGUGUGUUUGCAACUGAAUGUUUGAUAAAUGAAAAGAGACAAAAUGUUCUACUUUUCAGCACAUUUUUAUCCACAGCUGGUGUGCAGACCGAGACUGAGUGUAUGUUAGCUUUAGCCGUGAUUUUUCAAGUUGAGGUUUGCUAUAUUUAGCUCUACAUAUAUUUAGAAUUGAUGGAAGUAAAUCUUUUAACUUUGGAAAAUGUUGCUGAAUGGAGACUUCGGUCCAGCUGAAAAAUAUCACCAGUGCUCCUUGAUCCUACCUCUGUGGAGAAUUACUGGCUCCAGGGACCCCCUCUGAACCCUGCCAGAGUUUUUCAUCGUUCCUAACUGCAGUGAAGCCUUCGUGAGGCACACACAUUCACUUCCCUGGCGGCUGAGUCUGGUACGGGGACGGCUCAAAGCAGCUCCAGAGGGGCUGCUCCAACGGGACGGGUGUCUGCGGGAGGAACUGCCGAGCCCUGCAAAGCCCGCCCUGCCCACCUGUGUCCCGAGGGCUCGCCCUCAGCUCUGCAUGUUCAAAAGGCUCAAGGAAGGCUGGUGUUGUACAGCGUCCUUCGGUGGUGCCGUCUGGUGGAGAAGGAGCUCUCAACAGCUGCAAGAACCAACCCGUGUGAGCUUUCUGCCCGUGACAACCCCAGGAAACACCCAGCAGUGGCCGUUUCCAGAGAGAAGAUACGAUUCUGACCUGCUGCUGUUAUACCUUCAGCAUUUUGUGAUAUGGUGGGUAAAGAUUAUUCCCAGACUGAAGCCUUCAUCACAAGCCAACUUUUAACUGUGAGAGAAAUGUCUGAACUGGUUUGCAACUGAAAUGAAUAUCUAUGGGAACUGAUGCCUGUCCACCCACAUUGCCAGAAUGCUUCUUCACAUGAAAAGGAAUGAUUCUUCAAAAGGAAAGUAUAAUUAAUACUUUCACAUACACUUUAGUUUUUUGAAUUGACUGGUGAGGGGAGGGUGGCUAUGGACCGAGAAUGUUUCAUGUCUUUUGGAAAUAGUUUUCAGACAUAAACUGCAAUAUCAUUAUAGUAUACAAAAUAGUUUUACUGAAUUUCAUAAUUACAAUUUAAUAUAUUAAUUUACAGUGAAAUAAACCACAAUAAUAAGGGAGUGUAGAAUGUCUUCUGCAUCCUCACCAUUGCAAAUCAGGACAGUGACAUGGUACAGCCAGAUCAUGGCUUGAUCCACACUUACAUUUGUUUGCAUAUUUGGUGCUUAAGUGAGAAGUGUGUGUCUGGGGGGCUUUGAUGAGUAUUGGGCUGAGAGGAGAGAGGCAAACAGGGGCUGGGAAGGUUGUUCUGUCCUAGGACUAUUUUGUUAGGGGUUGGAUGCCUCUACCAACUGCCCGGUCUGUGCUGAGCCCCUCUUGUAGCCUCUCAGAAAAAAAAGUGCCAGACACUGCCAGAGCAGAUCAGCUUGGAGAGAAGGGUGAAAUUUCAUUAACUGAGUUGCUGUAUGAAUCAAAGGGAAUCUCUCUACUGGGUUCAAUUUUGCCUAUAUGUUGAGAACACAACUUUCAUAAAAAUUACCUAGGAGCCAGGUGAGUCAUCUGAUAUGUUUGCAUGGAUAAGAAAAGAGGUGAGGAUGUUUAAGAUCACAGGGCCUGUAGCACAACAAUGAAAGGUCCCACAGGGGCUUUCAUUCUCCUUCAAAUGUUUGUCACUAUCAGACCGUAAGUGCACAAACCUGCUUUUGAAAAGCAGUAAGAAUAAAAAAGACAAAGUUUCCUUCCAAGAUAUUUCCCCUUAUUCAAAAUAAUCAACACUCAAAGUAUUUUGAGAUAAAGUUAAUGCCAGAAUAAGGGAAAAUAACUGUAAAAGUUCUCUAUUGAUAGAAGAAACUAAAAAAAUUCCAUUAUAAUCUCAUACACACACAAAAAUUUAAUGGUGUAGUAAUCAGUGUAAUACAAACUAUAUUUAGAAGCACUACAAUUAUUACAUAAUACAUCAUGAAGACCCUCUAGAGAUGGUAUUACCAGAGAUUAUAGGCUACUUCAGAAAGCCAUUAAGGAUCUAUUAGUUGCCAAACUGGCCCAUCCAUAACUUUCAGUAAUGUCCUCUCUGGAGCAUUACUUUCUUAUCUGUAGUAGGGGAACUGAAGCUAUACCCAUGACUGUUGAAAUAAAAUGUAGACUUGACAUCUUGGCUAUUUUGUAAUUAACACCUUUGUUAUAUUCUUGACUCAAGUUUUACAAUAAUUGGAUGAAUUAAUCAAUAUGUCUGCUGGGAUUUGGUUUUGUUUCUCACUAUCCAUUAGAUAACUUCUGAAGUUAAAAUCAUGAUACAUAUUUUCAUGUUAAUAGAAGUUUGCUGAAAUAAGUAUUAAGUUAAAAAAAAAAAAAAGCGUGUUUUCUUUCAGCUGCAAUGGUUUAGAAAUUAUCAACUCUAUGAACAUGUGAUGCACAACAAAUGACUUAAUCACAAUUUAUGGAAAAAAAUAUAUUAUGGUCUUAGAUCCACUAGUUAAGAUGCUGUUCUGGUAGGGGCUGCAGAAGAACAGCCAGAGCACGUACAAUGGUAAAAAUGAGGACUACUGCAAAUUUCUUACAUAUCUGGAAUUUAUAAUUUAAACAUACAAAAAAUGGUAUAGAAAAUUAAAGAGUUUACAUCUAUCAGAUAAUGCUUGUCUUCAUUUGUGAAGAUGCAACCUGAUCGUUAGGUAUGUUGGAAGUCUGUUUCUUCAUCCAUUCUCUCUCUUAUUUAAGUGUGAGAAAUUUCAGAUUUACUUGUGAGAGUUUCUGAGGCGGUCCAUGUGACAUUUUAAAUGUUAUAAAGCAUAUCUGAUUUCAUUUGUACUCAUUCACCUAACAUCUAAAAACAUUUUGAAUAUGUAGAACAAAUGUAUUUUUCUCCUGCUUUGUGACAAACAAAAUUUCUGCAGAAUGAUGCAUGCAUUAAGCAUUCCUCUGAAUUAGUUCUCAUUACUGGAAGGCAAGAAAAUCCAGUGCUCUAAAAAGUAAACAUGAAAAUUAACACAAGAACACAAAUAAUUAAUUCUUGGACUGGUAAUGCUGCUGCAAAUAUGUAUAGAAACUGUAGCACUAUAACCUGGAUCCUAUUGGCCAUGCAAAUGCAGAAUGUUGGUAUAAUAUAUAGAGUUCUUGUACACCUGAGGAUAUAAGUACAUUCAUAAAUAAAUUGUUACAUUGUGCAUAUUGCUAAAAUAAAUUGUUCAUAAAACAGUAAUAUUCUGUUUUACAUCCACUUUGGAAAAGAAUAAAUAGUUGUACAAGGUGAAAAUUGGUGAGCAUUUUCUAAGCAAAAGAAUACUAGCUCCUAUUUUGGGUAUUGUACCAAAGACCUUCAAUGAAGAAAAGUGUAGGAUUUUUAACGUUUGCUAUAUUCUUUACUCUGGGUGUAAAAUCAGAGCUAUUCUAGUUCAAGUGUUUGUCACGUAGUUUCAUCACAGAUAGCAGCCUGUGCUUUGUGUGUGAGUGUGAGACCUUCUCCAGCCCCACACAUUAACUCUGAAGUAGGAUGUGGGUUGUUAGCUUGUCACUGUUUUAUCGCAAAAAAAUUGAGAAAUGUCUGAUUAAGUCAGAGAAAAGUUACUGCAUUAUUAAAAUGGUUGAAUCAAUUUUUUCUUUCUUAUGGUUUGUCAAAUUUAUAAAAUAUUAUAUUUCUCCUCAGAUAGAGUUACAUACUGUGUAGCUCAGAGAUAAUCCCUAUGGUCUUGGCAUAUGUUACUUAAUUGUCUCAGAAGGAAAUACCAUAAAUACCAUGCUGUCAUCUCCCAUGGGCAUUUGCUCAUCUGUCACAGUGGGAGCUCCAGACUGGGUGAGGUGCUCUAAGACAUUUCUUAAACUAUGUAAAUCACAGCCAUUUCUUCUUCCUACUUCCCAAAUGGUCAAUUAUGUAUAAACAUGUGUUAAUAAAAAUUUGCUUCUUUUGC